ACCUGCAAACAAUUUGAUCUUGGACUUCCAGGCCCAAGAGCUGUGAGAAACUAAAUGUCUAUUGUUUAAUCCCCCUGUUCUGUGGUAUUUUAUAAUAUAGCCCAGCAAAUGAAUACACCAAGGUAAGCCAACUUGUAUUGGAAGUAAAGAUACCUUCAGGGUGGUAAAAGUAUGGGACUUUGAAACAGGAAGGCUGUUUCUGGAUUUACUGGGGCUCAUGGCAAUGCUGGAAUCACAUUCUGACCUUUGACUCCAGUGGAAGAAGGCUAGUCACUGGGGGCAGAGACGGCUGUCUGAAGAUAUGGAGCUACAACCACGGACAUUGUCUGCACACACUGAAACAUGGCAAGUCGCUUCCUACCAAGGCUCCCCAUAACAUAAUGAUGCAAGAUUGGGCAUUUGUUGUCAAGGUAGAAGAACCAAAUGAGAUGGGAUCUAAGGUGCACGUGACAAUCCUACAUUCUUUUUCUCUGGCCCUUCAUUUUACCAAUGACUUUAAACUUCUACUGAGGAGAGACAUACUUUACAUGAAUGUAUGUGCUCCCAGCUAAGCCUUGUGCACCUGCUCCUUCAUCACCCGGUAUGUUUAUCUGCGUUCUUAAAAGAGCUUAGCUUUUCUAAACAUUUUAAACAUCACAUAAGUCAAAAUAUGGAUGAGCAAACUAAAAGCUAGUCUGUUUUGGGUGUUAGUGAUUUUUUUUCCAAGGCCACUUUUCCAUGUUCAUGUGCUGUACCUGAUUUUGGUCGAAUUUCCACAAUUCUGGCCUGUUGACUUUCCAUGAGGAAGAUAAGAGGCAAAAACUUUUCAACUACCAGAGAAUAUAAGAGAAUCCAAAGAAAAAAAAAGACAAAAAUCACUCAAAGUAAUGAGUUUGUGAUUCCAAGUUCUGCUUUUGACCUGCCUGUGUUCACCUGUCUCCUCACUCAGGAGGGGCCGGGCACCGUGUAGGGUCCUGUCAGGAGAAGGCGAGCUUCUUCCCAAAGCUGAGCAAGGGCAGAACCAGCAUUUUAGGGCAAUGCGGGGGGGCGGGGGGGGGGGUGCAGGAAACCAGCAGGGCUUUGGUGGUUUGAAAGACACCUAACUAUGGUCUGAAAACUAGAAAGUUAGUACGCAACUUUUCCCCAAUCAUCAUUGAAUUGAGACAACAUGUGUAAACUGAUUUAAGGACGAAUAAAGAAGAAUGUCUAAUAGAAGUUGACAAUGUUAUCUUUCUAGAUGAAAAACAAAGUGAAGUCUGUGAUUGUACCUAUUUGGAGGUGAACCCAAAUAAGUGCAUCAUAGCUGUUGGAUGGGACAGAAGAAUAAAUGUGUAUUUUGAUGCACCAUGUGACUUUCAUCACUUCUGGAAGCCGCAGCCACACUGGCAGGAUGACCUGGUGAGCCCUGGUCCACACUGUCUGGCUCUCAACCCAAACAGUGGCACAUGUUGAGGAUAUCUGUCACUCAGAGGCUCACCCUGACUCUCCUGGGCCUGCCUAGGGUUGUCACAAGGACCUCAAAAGCCUCUGCUGUGGCAGGAAUCAUGACUGGGGUCCAGGUAGAGCCAGAAGUACUGGGCUCCAGGCAGCUGCUUCCCCUCCAGGAAGAGUGAUGGCCUUGUGUUCAGAUUGGGGCAUGAGGCUACAGAAGCCAAUCCAUGCAGCUCUCCAUGAGCUCAGCCAGGAUUCAUGUAGUACAGGAAUGCCAUCCCAAGAUAUGGUGGGUGUGGAUUUCCUCAAAGAAGCAUGUACUUCCUGUUUCUGCUUGGCAUGCAAAAUUGUAUGCAUUUGCUGUGUCACCUUUGGGCAGCCAGGGAGCCGAAGAGAUGACAUUCCUGCCCUGUGGCUUGUUGGGGGCCCAUAACCGGGAGACUUCUUGUGAUUCUUAUUAGCAAAGUGCCCCAACUUUCUGAAGUCUCCUAUGGUUGAAUGACCUCCCUCAAAAUUGUCUGGAUGCCAAGCCAAUAAGACAAGUGCUAAGAAAGCAAAGUCACUGUGCCCAACCGUGUGCUACAGCUCAACCCUACCUUAAACCCCCAUAAACAUUCCAAAAGGUACAAGUCACUAGAAUACAAACUCCAUGAGGCCAGGCCUUGUCUGCCUUCACCAUGGUAUUCCCAGGACCUAGCCCAGUGCCCACUUUAUAGCAAUGCCUAAUUAAUUUGAUUCCAUUCAACUAGCAUAUGCCAAGUGCAGAUUGUGGACCAAGUGUGCUUUGUUCACUGAAGAUGAAGUUAUGAUCAAAAGGGUCAUCUCAUGAUCUCUGCCUUCCCGGAGUUCGAAGAUUAGUGAUUAUUGAGUGAAAGAACAAAGUUGUGCAGAAAAUGCCUGGAAGUGAAGGCCAUUGCAAGGAGGCAUUGUCAGGCAAGUCAGUGAAGUGUUAGUGCAUUCAAAUAUUUAUUUAUUCAACUAUUAACUCACUCAACACGUAUUUUUGGGCACUUUUAUAGUGUCAUGCUUAAUGGAUAGGCCCAGGAGAUACAACGUGAAUAAAAUGUGAUUCCUGAGGUGCCUGGGUGGCCCAGUCGGUUGAGCGUCCGACUUCGGCUCAGGUCAUGAUCUCAUGGUUCGUGGGUUCGAGC